AGAAGACAGGUGGCCACAGAGAGGGAGGGGGGGGAGUUACUCUGAAUUAAGUCAAACUGCACAGACUGAGGGACACUCCUGUGAGCGGAGCACAGGCUCCGUAUUUUCCAGCUCCAGUGCGACAACUUUCAUCCCAGAGCCUGGAAAUGAAACUACAAGACAUCUCUCUUUCCUACCAUUGAUGUUGGCACAGGUUCAGAGUGCAGGAGCUUCCAGGUGAGGACCAG